AUACAUUCGACGACGAAGAAAGUACGUGUGAACAAGAUUUCACAGCGAGUCGGGGUUGGUGGAAGCCUGAUGAUCAGUUCAUACGGAAACGCACUUCAGAGAAGUUCGGUGAAUCAUAGUAGCCUGAACCGGGAGCUCCCGUUACCAGUUUCGAGUUGGUCUAGAUUCAUAGACAAUGAGAGUGGCACCGCGGAUAUUUAAAUAACAGAUCCGUCUCUUAC
rnacentral:ncRNA from 1 species